CAGUCGCCGCGGUAAUACGUAGGUGGCAAGCGUUGUCCGGAAUUAUUGGGCGUAAAGGGCUCGCAGGCGGUUUCUUAAGUCUGACGUGAAAGCCCCCGGCUCAACCGGGGAGGGUCAUUGGAAACUGGGAAACUUGAGUGCAGAAGAGGAGAGUGGAAUUCCACGUGUAGCGGUGAAAUGCGUAGAGAUGUGGAGGAACACCAGUGGCGAAGGCGACUCUCUGGUCUGUAACUGACGCUGAGGAGCGAAAGCGUGGGGAGCGAACAGGAUUAGAUACCCCAGUAGUCCCUGUCUCUUAUAC
rnacentral:rRNA from 1 species